rnacentral:rRNA from 1 species
AUGCAGUCGACGGUAAGGCCCUUCGGGGUACACGAGUGGCGAACGGGUGAGUAACACGUGGGUAAUCUGCCCUGCACUUCGGGAUAAGCCUGGGAAACUGGGUCUAAUACCGGAUAUGAGCUCCUGCCGCAUGGUGGGGGUUGGAAAGUUUUUCGGUGCAGGAUGAGUCCGCGGCCUAUCAGCUUGUUGGUGGGGUAAUGGCCUACCAAGGCGACGACGGGUAGCCGGCCUGAGAGAGUGAUCGGCCACACUGGGACUGAGACACGGCCCAGACUCCUACGGGAGGCAGCAGUGGGGAAUAUUGCACAAUGGGCGAAAGCCUGAUGCAGCGACGCCGCGUGGGGGAUGACGGUCUUCGGAUUGUAAACCCCUUUCAGCAGGGACGAAGCGAAAGUGACGGUACCUGCAGAAGAAGCACCGGCUAACUACGUGCCAGCAGCCGCGGUAAUACGUAGGGUGCGAGCGUUGUCCGGAAUUACUGGGCGUAAAGAGCUCGUAGGCGGUUUGUCACGUCGUCUGUGAAAUCCUCCAGCUUAACUGGGGGCGUGCAGGCGAUACGGGCAGACUUGAGUACUACAGGGGAGACUGGAAUUCCUGGUGUAGCGGUGAAAUGCGCAGAUAUCAGGAGGAACACCGGUGGCGAAGGCGGGUCUCUGGGUAGUAACUGACGCUGAGGAGCGAAAGCAUGGGUAGCGAACAGGAUUAGAUACCCUGGUAGA